rnacentral:rRNA from 1 species
CGGAUGACGCUAGCGGCAGGCCUAACACAUGCAAGGUCGAGGGGUAUCCUGGCUUUCGGGCGGGAGAGACCGGCGCACGGGUGCGUAACGCGUAUGUAAUCUACCUUGUACAGAGGGAUAGCCCAGAGAAAUUUGGAUUAAUACCUCAUGGUAUUAUAGAGUGGCAUCAUUUUAUAAUUAAAGUUCCAACGGUACAAGAUGAGCAUGCGUCCUAUUAGCUGGAUGGUAAGGUAACGGCUUACCAUGGCUACGAUAGGUAGGGGUCCUGAGAGGGAGAUCCCCCACACUGGUACUGAGACACGGACCAGACUCCUACGGGAGGCAGCAGUGAGGAAUAUUGGACAAUGGGCGCAAGCCUGACCCAGCAACGCCGCGUGGAGGAAGAAGGCCUUCGGGUUGUAAACUGCUUUUCCAGGGAGAGAAACUUACGCACGUGUUGCGUGACUGACGGUACCCUGGGAAUAAGCAUCGGCUAACUCCGUG